rnacentral:rRNA from 1 species
UGCAGUCGAGCGGAACGAGUUAGUCUGAACCUUCGGGGAACGAUAACGGCGUCGAGCGGCGGACGGGUGAGUAAUGCCUGGGAAAUUGCCCUGAUGUGGGGGAUAACCAUUGGAAACGAUGGCUAAUACCGCAUAAUAGCUUCGGCUCAAAGAGGGGGACCUUCGGGCCUCUCGCGUCAGGAUAUGCCCAGGUGGGAUUAGCUAGUUGGUGAGGUAAGGGCUCACCAAGGCGACGAUCCCUAGCUGGUCUGAGAGGAUGAUCAGCCACACUGGAACUGAGACACGGUCCAGACUCCUACGGGAGGCAGCAGUGGGGAAUAUUGCACAAUGGGCGCAAGCCUGAUGCAGCCAUGCCGCGUGUAUGAAGAAGGCCUUCGGGUUGUAAAGUACUUUCAGCAGUGAGGAAGGUGGUGUACUUAAUACGUGCAUCAUUUGACGUUAGCUGCAGAAGAAGCACCGGCUAACUCCGUGCCAGCAGCCGCGGUAAUACGGAGGGUGCGAGCGUUAAUCGGAAUUACUGGGCGUAAAGCGCAUGCAGGUGGUUUGUUAAGUCAGAUGUGAAAGCCCGGGGCUCAACCUCGGAAUUGCAUUUGAAACUGACAGACUAGAGUACUGUAGAGGGGGGUAGAAUUUCAGUGUAGC